rnacentral:rRNA from 1 species
AUUGAACGCUGGCGGCAUGCCUUACACAUGCAAGUCGAACGGUAACGGGCCUUCGGGUGCCGACGAGUGGCGAACGGGUGAGUAAUGUAUCGGAACGUACCUUUCAGUGGGGGAUAGCGUAGCGAAAGUUACGCUAAUACCGCAUAUUCUGUGCGCAGGAAAGCAGGGGAUUGCAAGACCUUGCGCUGAUUGAGCGGCCGAUAUCAGAGUUAGCUAGUUGGUGAGGUAAAGGCUCACCAAGGCGACGAUCUGUAGCGGGUCUGAGAGGAUGAUCCGCCACACUGGAACUGAGACACGGUCCAGACUCCUACGGGAGGCAGCAGUGGGGAAUUUUGGACAAUGGGGGCAACCCUGAUCCAGCCAUGCCGCGUGAGUGAAGAAGGCCUUCGGGUUGUAAAGCUCUUUCGGCCGGGAAGAAAUCGCAUGGGCUAAUACCCUGUGCGGAUGACGGUACCGGCAUAAGAAGCACCGGCUAACUACGUGCCAGCCGCCGCCGUAACAC